rnacentral:tRNA from 1 species
GCAGGGGUGCCAGAGCCUGGUCAAAUGGGCUGGACUUAGAAUCCAGUGGCCUAGCGCCUGCGAGGGUUCGAAUCCCUUCCCCUGCA